rnacentral:rRNA from 1 species
UACGAAGGGUGCAAGCGUUACUCGGAAUUACUGGGCGUAAAGCGUGCGUAGGUGGUGGUUUAAGUCAGAUGUGAAAGCCCUGGGCUCAACCUGGGAACUGCAUUUGAUACUGGAUCACUAGAGUGCGGUAGAGGAUAGUGGAAUUCCCGGUGUAGCAGUGAAAUGCGUAGAGAUCGGGAGGAACACCAGUGGCGAAGGCGACUAUCUGGACCAGCACUGACACUGAGGCACGAAAGCGUGGGGAG